rnacentral:rRNA from 1 species
GACGAACGCUGGCGGCGUGCUUAACACAUGCAAGUCGAACGGAAAGGCCCUGCUUUUGUGGGGUGCUCGAGUGGCGAACGGGUGAGUAACACGUGAGUAACCUGCCCUUGACUUUGGGAUAACUUCAGGAAACUGGGGCUAAUACCGGAUAGGAGCUCCUGCUGCAUGGUGGGGGUUGGAAAGUUUCGGCGGGUGGGGAUGGACUCGCGGCUUAUCAGCUUGUUGGUGGGGUAGUGGCUUACCAAGGCUUUGACGGGUAGCCGGCCUGAGAGGGUGACCGGCCACAUUGGGACUGAGAUACGGCCCAGACUCCUACGGGAGGCAGCAGUGGGGAAUAUUGCACAAUGGGCGGAAGCCUGAUCCAGCAACGCCGCGUGCGGGAUGACGGCCUUCGGGUUGUAAACCGCUUUCGCCUGUGACGAAGCGUGAGUGACGGUAAUGGGUAAAGAAGCACCGGCUAACUACGUG